GCUUUUACGUGUCAUGAUCAAGGAUCAUCCUGCUUGUGUUUUGCUCCUCAACAUCAAUUGUUGAUAUCAUGUGGGAAAAAAAGGGGACAUAUGUAUUUUCGAUGUAAGACAAAGGACUCUUAAGCAUCGAUUCCAGAUUGUGUAAUCGAUGAUAUGGACUUGCGUGAACAAUCAACAAGCAAAAGGCUUCGUGCUCCAACCCCAAAUCAUACAACAACUGAAAAAGAAGAUUAUGAGCCUUGGGAGCACUACACAUAAAUGCAGUUGAAAACGCCUAAAAACAAAAAGCUGUGCACUGAAAGUGUAAACAGAAAACACACAAGUUAGGCAAAGCUAGCAGAAAUAAAGUCUAAAUGGACGGAAAGAAAAGUGGAAGAAGAAGUGGAAUUUGCGAAAAUCGAGAACACUUUACGUAUUACCCAAUUGAAAGAAGUACAGUGUGGCGACGAAUAACUGUUACCCAGGUUUUUUUGAGAA
rnacentral:lncRNA from 1 species